UACGGAGGGGGCUAGCGUUGUUCGGAAUUACUGGGCGUAAAGCGCACGUAGGCGGCUUUGUAAGUUAGAGGUGAAAGCCCGGGGCUCAACCCCGGAAUUGCCUUUAAGACUGCAUCGCUUGAAUUGUGGAGAGGUAAGUGGAAUUCCGAGUGUAGAGGUGAAAUUCGUAGAUAUUCGGAAGAACACCAGUGGCGAAGGCGGCUCACUGGUCCGGUACUGACGCUGAGGUGCGAAAGCGUGGGGAGCAAACAGG
rnacentral:rRNA from 1 species